rnacentral:rRNA from 1 species
GACGAAGGUGGCGAGCGUUACUCGGAAUUACUAGGCGUAAAGGGUGGGUAGGCGGUUCGGUCAGUCUGUUGUGAAAGCCUCGGGCUUAACCCGGGGAGGCCAAUGGAUACUGCCGGACUUGAAUGUGGGAGAGGGGACUGGAAUUCCCGGUGUAGCGGUGAAAUGCGUAGAGAUCGGGAGGAACACCAAUGGCGAAGGCAGGUCCCUGGACCACUAUUGACGCUGAACCACGAAAGCUGGGGGAUCAAACAGG